UUCAGAAUUAUUAUAAAUCAAUUUACAAGUAUGAAUAUUUUUCUGUGAAUCAAAAAUGACUGACACUUACUGAUAUUGAAUCUACAUGCGCUCGGGGUUCUGUCACUGUCGUCACGUUACCAAGAGAUUCGUAAACUUGUAGAAAGUUUUGUAAAUUUGUAGACAGAGAUUCGCAAAUAGAUAUCAUAUUUGAGCAGUUCUCGGGGCAGGACCUUUUACUCCUGACCAAUCCGUUUCCUCUGCCAAAACCACAGACAUCUAACCAUGGGCUGGAUUGUUCCUUCAAUUAAAUCUCAGGAAGUAGCUACCCACAUGAGCAAAAGAGGGCGAGGUAAAUCAAACCAAAACAAGCUACUUGAAGGUAAAAGUCUCUUUUUAUCCUCGUUUAUAUCGAUUUUUUUGUGUGAAAAGGCAUGACAGUAGUUCGCUUAUCAUGUGAAAUAUAAAUGUAGAUUUCAGAUGAACCCCAGACCAACCAAUACAAGCUGGCCUCUGACAUUCAUCAUAGCUUUAUCAGACUGCUUUAGAUGCAAGAGGAAAACAAAUAUAUUUGCUAGUUAAUCAUCGGAUUGAUAAAGCUGCUGUACAGUAAAUGCGGUUUGCUAGAUAGAUGUCUUGCUAAAUUUAAAAUUUAGGGAAAGCAAGCUAGUUAACUCCCACUAUCAUCACUGCAUUGUAGCUAAUGUUAGCUAAGUUUCUAGAAAAUAAAAACUCUAUAUUUACUCUCUAUAUUUUAAAGACUUGUUACUGACUUUGAACACUUGUCAAACUACUUCAUUCCACUGCCAGUUUAUUGAUUAGUUAGUUGGUGACUGAAAAAAGCUGCAUUCUCAAUUUCACAGCAAAUAGACUAGCUAGUUAAAAGUAAAUGGGGUCAACUUGAUAAAGUUUAUAUGUAAAAUUGUUUUUAAAAAAUGAUGGCACAUUUAAGGUAGUUGUGGUUCCCAGCAACUUGAACCAGCACUGCAAUUUGAGCAGUGAGAUUAAUUUCUUCCCCCUCUCUCCUCUUUUACUCAGGUUGAAGCACAUCCCCAACACCCAGACAGACACCAGAGGCAGAAUAUUCCAAGAACCUCCACAGCCAUCUGACCACCUACCUGCGAUCUCUCCACAGCACAGAGAAGUGAGUCUGCUGGGCUGUGGAACUCUAGAACAUCAACGAACCUGCCACCCUGUCAGCAGACAGUUCCCAGAGGAAGGAUGCAACUAUCAAGGCUGUAAAUGGUCACAUUUGGGGGAUGACCACCAAAUGCAAUAAAGUUUUGUAUAAACUACUCAUGUUUUUAUUUUACUUUAAUAGGUUACAAAACAUAACUUUUUCAUGGCCUGUUGGUCUAUUCAUUUUUACUAAACUACUAUGAUAACUUAAACAUCAGACCACAGGCAGAAAACAAUGCGAGCUUAUGGUUCAAAAAGCUCUCAGAAUCAAUCAGCACUGAAAAACGAUCUGAUGUGAUUGGUCAAAAUACCAGUUAGUGGAAAGAAUAUCAGAAUUGGGCUGCCUGUCUCAACACAGCCAGAAACAAGUGAAUAUACUAUAAGUCAGUUCUAGUGUUUGUAGCAGUUUCUUUGAGUGGUUACAUAUACAGUACAUGUUAAAUGUGACUUGCUGUAAACAAAGGGACGGUCCUAAUGAAGGCCCUAGUAUUCAGUUAGGUUGCUUGAAGAUGUCACCAUCCAGGCCCUUAUCACAGCAGUGGCCUGAUAGAGAGAUGACAAUAAAUAGA